GCCUUUGGCUUAGUAGCUCGAGCGUCCGCCUCGGAUGCGGAAGAUCGUGGGUUCGAUCCCCCGGGAGAGUCA